rnacentral:lncRNA from 1 species
GAGCACAAACAUCGGAGGCUCAGAGGAGCUGGUGUCCACAGGGGACAGGAAGCCGGUGCUGGCUAGGGGCGGGGGCGUCAGGCUGUUUAGAAAUGUCCCAUCAGACCUGAAGCCUGUGGGUCCAGAAGACACAUUUGAUCGGAUCCAACCUUUGGAAGAUCUGCUUGGAAAUUUCCCACUUCGUGUCCUGAGUCCAGGAACCCAGCAGUGGAAUUUUGUAG